GACGAACGCUGGCGGCGUGCUUAACACAUGCAAGUCGAACGGAAAGGCCCCUUUGGGGGUCCUCGAGUGGCGAACGGGUGAGUAACACGUGAGUAACCUGCCCUUGACUUCGGGAUAACUUCAGGAAACUGGGGCUAAUACCGGAUAGGAAUCCUUGCUUCAUGGUGGGGGUUGGAAAGCUUCGGCGGUUUUGGAUGGACUCGCGGCUUAUCAGCUUGUUGGUGGGGUAGUGGCUUACCAAGGCUUUGACGGGUAGCCGGCCUGAGAGGGCGACCGGCCACACUGGGACUGAGAUACGGCCCAGACUCCUACGGGAGGCAGAAGUGGGGAAUAUUGCACAAUGGGCGGAAGCCGGAUGCAGCAACGCCGCGGGCGGGAUGACGGCCUUCGGGUUGUAAACCGCUUUCAGCAGGGGCGAAGCUUGUGGUGACGGUACCUGCAGAAGAAGCACCGGCUAACUACGUG
rnacentral:rRNA from 1 species